UACAGAGACUGCAAGCGUUAUUCGGAUUCACUGGGCGUAAAGGGUGCGCAGGCGGCCAAGUGUGUGAGGCGUGAAAGCCUGGGGCUUAACUCCAGAAUUGCACCUCAAACUACAUGGCUAGAGCAUUGGAGAGGGUAGCAGAAUUCACGGUGUAGCAGUGAAAUGCGUAGAUAUCGUGAGGAAUACCAGAGGCGAAGGCGGCUACCUGGACAAUUGCUGACGCUCAGGCACGAAAGCGUGGGGAGCGAACAGG
rnacentral:rRNA from 1 species